rnacentral:rRNA from 1 species
AUGUUGCCCCGGCAAGUUUGGAGACUCAUUCAAAACCCGGAAUCCCUCUGUGCUAGGGUUUUGCAGGCCCGCUACUUUUCCAAUGGAAACAUCUUUGAGGCGGUCCCAAGGGAGGGUAUCUCCUAUGCCUAGCGAAGUGUGCUGCAUGUGCUAAGUUUGUUUCGAGAGGGCUACGUCUGGCGGAUUGAGGAUGGCACACACGUCCGUAUUUGGUCGGAUCCCUGGAUUCCUCGAGCCUAGUCGAGACGUGUCAUCACCCCGCGUGGUCCUAGUAUCUUGGAGUGGGUCAGCGAUCUCAUUAAUCCACUCACUGGGGCCUGGGAUGAACAGCUUGUGCGAGAUACUUUUUGGGCGGAUGAUGUGAAGCACAUACUUUAGAUUCCUCUUCGGGAUGGAGUCCCAGACUUUGUGGCAUGGCAGUAUGACACCAAGGGCAUCCAUUCGGUCAAAAGUGCGUACAAGCUUCACAUGGAGAUUGAGAAAACCCGGAGUGACAGCGGGGUUGGUGGAAGCGACAACAAUCCUGGGAAUCUUGAUCGAACACCUGACGAUUCAUGGAAACGGAUUUGGCGACUACCCUGCCCCAAGAACAUACAAAUGUUCACGUGGAGACUGAAGCACGAGUCACUUGCUCUUCGGGUGAAUGUUGCCCGAAAAGGAAUUCAUAUUGAAAGUACCAAAUGUUUAUUCUGCGGGCUGGCAGACGAGGAUGGAGCUCACCUUUUCAUAAAAUGCAAAAUAGUGAAGUGUGUGUGGAGAGACUUGGCCAUGGAGAAGGAGAGGAUGCAACUCGAGGAGAUCACGUCUAUGCAUGCAAUGCUUGAUUUCCUAUGGGGCCUAGAUGUCAAUAAGCGCUUGCACGUGCUUACUUUCUGGUGGCUAUGGUGGUCUAACCGGAACAAACAGAGGGAGGGAGAACUACCUUUGGAGGCGAGUGUGGUGGCGCGAAGAAUGCGCAGCAAUGUCAUCGAGUACCUGCAAAUAUUUACCCAUGUCCAGGAUAAGAAGCAACCGGAUAGGUGGUGCCCACCGAAGGAAACUAUGUACAAGAUCAAUGUUGAUGGUUCCUUCAUCCCGAGCCAAGAUCACGUAGGUUGGGGUGCCGCUGUGAGAACUGCUGAGGGUAACCUGAUUUGUGCUCAGGCUAGCAGAGAGACGAACAUUGGGGAUGCUUUUGCAGCUGAAGCAGUAGCUAUGGCCCAUGCGAUCAGCCUGGCGUCCGACCUCGGACUGGUGAGGGUUGAGCUCGAGACUGAUUCCCAGCUCCUGGCAGAGGCGCUCGACUUUCGUAAGGCGGACUCCUCGCCGUAUGCAGCCCAGAUCGAGGACAUGAAAUACCACCUUAAGAUGUGGUUUUUGAAAGUUUCCAUUUCUGUUUGUAGGCGUAGCGCAAAUUCUGUAGCACAUGAACUAGCCGGCAUUGGCCGUGCGUGUGUGAGUGACCACCAUCUGGAGUGGUCGUCUGAUGUCCCUGCCCACGUGGGUGUUUGUAUCCUGGGUGAUAUGCCCAGAAACCGUUAA